CGGAUAUAAGUCUGUAAAAUCAGAUGGACUGCCAAUUGGAGAAUGAGAGCUGCCCAGCCUGGCCUUAUGUUCUUUCAAUUAAUUCAUAAACAGAAAGGGGGAUAUGCAGGGAGCCGAAGGCCCGUAGGAUUCGGCAUUCCACUGGAGGCUAUGUGAUCAAACAGCAAACUGUUUAUCAUGAAUGCAGAAUGUGGGCAAACUCACAACUGCUCCUGCCGACAGAAGGUUUGCUGGAGGCAAUCACUCCCUGGCACUGAGGUUAUCUACUGCGACAUCUAGAGCCUGUUGUUCGAGGAAUGCAGUCUUGCAAGCCUACUCUGGACUGAGCAGCUGACCCCUUCUUCCACCCCCCUUCUCACUAUCUCUUUUGCCUAAUAAAUAUGGAGGGCUGUGUAAAGCUCAGGGCCCUUGUCUACUAGAAGCAAAGUGCCCCCUGACUCCUUCUUCCAAAUACACUCUUUUGUCUCUUGUCUUUUAUUCCCGCAUUCACUCCCUUUGUUCGGUCCCCCUAGGUCUGUGUGGGUUACACAGUGGCACCCCGAAUAGUGACAGAAUCAGGUGUUCCACAUUUUAUGAACACCCUUCCC
rnacentral:lncRNA from 1 species